GGGCGGUUAGUUCAGUUGGCAGAACAGGCGAAACUUCCACGGGGAAGAAGCCAUGGUCCGCGGUUCGAGUCCGCGACCGCCCA
rnacentral:tRNA from 1 species